ACGCUCGACACCUACGGGGGGCGGCAGUGGGGAAGUAUUGCACAAUGGGGGAAACCCGUGAUGCAGCGACGCCGCGUGAGUGAAGAAGUAUUUCGGUAUGUAAAGCUCUAUCAGCAGGGAAGAAGAUGACGGUACCUGAGUAAGAAGCCCCGGCUAACUGCGUGCCUGCGGCCGCGGUAAUCUGAGCGGGCUGGCAAGGC
rnacentral:rRNA from 1 species